ensembl:lincRNA
UGAGAACAGUUUCAUCUGCAUGGUGAACAGUGCAGGAGAUGCCUGCCAAGCCCUAACACAGUAGACUGAAGAUGGCCACACAGGUCUCAUUGAUGGAAGAGUGUCCUGCUGAUUGGUAGGGAAGUGGCACGGGAGACAGAGGUGGCAUCAGCAGCCAGGUGGACUGGGAGCAAGAAGAGAAGGAAAACAUUUUCUCAUCUCAGGAACACCCAGCACCUUACCAUGACCCUCUGUUGUGCAAGAAGAUUAUAAGAGGCAACUUGGGGAACUUCCUCACUGGGGCAAAGUUCCUCUCUCUCCAGCAGAAGUCAAGUGAUCAGGGCAUUGUGUGUCCGAGUGAAUAUCAACCAUUGAGGAUAUCCAGAGAUCUCGGUUUAAGAUCUGCUUAGGCAGAAGUGUCAUAUGCUGGAACCUGGACACAAAUUGUAUGGUUUAAACAACUCGUAAUACACAGACUAUUUUUUUUUUUAUCUACAGUAAACUUUUUGUGUUUGAACUG